GGAGUGGUAAUAUGGCGCCCGUUCAGUCGCGAUUGUUGUCUCGUGUUAAGUCAUCAGUGACAAUCUAUAGUUCAGUGUCUGACGCAAGAGGAGGAAGCGAAGAAGAAAGGUGCGGGAGUGAAUAUUGUUUUCAUCUCUCAUUCAUUAUCCGGAAGACUUACAGAAGAGUUAAGGGUAUUACAAGUGGCUGCAUAGGCUCAGUUUGAGAGAAAUACUAGGAAGUGUGAAAGCAGACAACCCACAGCAUACCUAAGCAACAUUGCUGUUGAAGUUGCUUAAGUGGCAGCAAGAUGGUGUGUAUUCCCUGCAUUGUGGUACCAGUCCUGCUCUUCAUCUGGCAUCGCUUCCUGCAGCCUGUGUUUUUAAAGUUUUGGAACCCAUGGAAGAAGAUAACAGGUCAUCAUGAGACAGAGAAAAGUGGGAAAGAUGCCAGUUGUCCAGCAUCUAAUGGAACAGCUGUAAAGAAUGGUGGACCUGCAUGUCCCUUCUCUGGCAAAAAAACAGAGGAACAGUCUUCUGAAGAAUUACCUCAUGACAAGAAGAACGACUGAAUUUUUUCACAUUUUCUAUUUGUGUGUGUGUGUGUGUGUGUGUGUGUGUGUGUGUGUGUGUGUGUGUGUGUGUGUGUGUGUGUCUGUGUGAUUUAUUACUGUCUCAAGGGUCAUGUGUUGGACUGGUGAUUGUUGGCUUUACCCACCUGGAGAAUGGUUCAUAUUUAUAUAGUCAUUUGGCUUAGAACUCAUGUAGGAUUUGGCUGAGACUUAAUGCACCACACACCAGAUCCUUAUGCUCAAGGAGGGCAAUAACUAUUUAAUCAUUAAAAGAUUAUCCUUAGCAUCAUAAGUAUGGCCCAAACCUCCAUUUGUCACUUCCUGAGUGACAGUCAAGGAUGAUGCCUACUGAGCUAGUGAGUAGUGUGUGUGUGUGUGUGUGUGUGUGUGUGUGUGUGUGUGUGUGUGUGUGUGUGUAGUUUACCAGAAUAAUAAUGAAAUAUAUCCAGUCUAUUUGUAAAAGUUUUAAUAUCAUAUGUAUGUAUAUACUUAGAUAUACUAUAUGGAUCAGUAUCUGUAUUUUUGUGUUUAUUUCAUAUUGGAACAGAAGUUUUUAAUAAUAUAAGUAUUUUAUGUUUCAGCUGAAUAUAUGUACAUAUAUACCUCAUCCUAUGUCGUUAAUUGGUUCCAGAGGUCAAGAUUUAGGUACAAAAAUUAUUGAAAUCAAAAUAACCACACUAUAAACUGCAAAUAAACACUCCAUUGCUUGUUACAGUACAGUGAACCUCCAGUUUUUCAUGGGGUUAUGUUCCAAAGGCACCCAUGAAGUGCUAAAAAUCUGCAUUAUAUUGAUGCUACCAUUAAAAUUCCUAUUCAUUCUCUGUUAAUAAGAAAAAUUAGUACAGGUACUCGCUGAUGAUGGAUGAGAUGAAUGAAGAUCAUGAAGUAAUUGUGUAGCUUGAUAUAACGAACAUAUUCAGCUUUGAAAAAAAAACAUUCAGCUUUGAAAAAAAAAUCACAGAUUUUUGCAACACUUAUGUGAUACAUUCCCAUCACUGUGUAGACUAUUAUCUGUGUAUUGUGUAUCACUGAUGAAUUAUUGUACCCAAAAACUUGUCCCAGAUCUGGGACAGUAGUAUUUUCACUGUGAUAAAAUUACAGAUUUUGUGAAAUAUGUCAAUAGUAUUCAAAAGGAAAAAUAAAAAAAUAAAAAAAACUUGUUCAUGGUUUAUUGUAGCAAAUUCAUUUCUGCACACAAUAGAGAAAAUAAUGAUAUAUUAUUCAUCAUGAGAAAAGUUUCAACAUUUUGUUGAAAUAUAUUCAUCCAGAGAAAAAUAUAAUUGGCCAUACAAAAAUACUAUACCUUAAUAGAAUGACUCCACUUUAUCACAGUAAAGAAAUACUUUCCAUUGGAAAAGGCACUGUUCUAUUCAAUACAAACUCAAUAACUACAUUACAGGUAAAACAAAAUGAAGCAACCAUUUCAUGGCUUGUAUGAAAAUAAAUAACCAAAAGUUAGUCUUCCUUAAACAUCUAAUAGGAACAGUACUUCUCAGUAUACACAGCACUUCUGUUAUUUAUGACUAAAUUUUUAGAGGUAGCAUAGUACAUUUUAAUUUUUCAAGUGCCUAUGAUUUUUUUUUUUUUUUUUUUUGAGGUAGCACAGUACAUUUAAAUUCAGGCUAUACCCUAUGAGAAUCCACAGCAUAAUUGCAACUCAACUCAGGACCUAAGAAAUAUCCCUCAGAUUAAAUUAUAACUAAAAAGAAAUAAUUCUCACUCAGUGGUUACAUUUCCAUAGCAUUCAUGGCAAAUGAAACAAGCUAUAGCAGUUUCUUUCUGAAGAAAAGGUCUUAUCUUCCACACCUUAUUUAUAUAUAUAUAUAUAUAUAUAUAUAUAUAUAUAUAUAUAUAUAUAUAUAUAUAUAUAUAUAUAUAUAUAUAUAUAUAGAUAUAGAUAUAGAUAUAUAUAGAUAGAUAGAUAGAUAGAUAGAUAGAUAGAUAGAUAUAUAUAUAUAUUUUUUUUAAGUAGGAAGAUUAUCAUCAAUUACUUUUAGAUUGCUUCAAAUUACCUCAUAUUUUCCCCUCGACUUACAAUCAGCAACCAGUUUUAUCUUAGUUCUCUCCUGCCAUUAUAUAUUCUGUCUAGGAAAUUUAAGAACAGACAUCAAAAAUGUUAUGCCUGCAAAUGCUUUCAUCUCAUCUGCUGUUAUACCUAAAGGCUUUCCUGUCUCUAACAUGUAUUUUUUUCUGUGUUUCCACUGUAAGUGCAUUCCAUAUUUCCUCAGAAAUAUAACCUGAAAAAUAUUCUACAAGAGAAACAAUGGUGGGUUGUUCAACCUGUUGCCCAUCAAUAUCAUCAAUAUCCAUAAGAAAUCUUUUUCUGAAGUGUGAAUUUCUGUGGAAUAAGUGACAUCUAUUUGGCAGUGUUCUUUGGCUUGAGAUUUGACUUGUUGAUACAGAUACUGCCAAAAUGCCAUCACUGGCCCCCUCAUCCCUUAUAGCAUCAGAUGAAGACUCAACCUCAUCUAUUUGUGAUUCACCUUCUGUUUGUCUCAGUGUAUACUUUUGCACCAGGAAAAAGUUCACUAGGCUGAACAGAAACAGUAGGCCAGUCAUCUUCAUCCGACAGACCACCCUCCUCAUCUAAUGCAUCCAGUAGUCAUAGGAUCUCCUCACACUCUGUAAUUAAAAUAAUAAUAAUAAAUAAAUAAAUAAAUAAAUGCA